rnacentral:rRNA from 1 species
GACGAACGCUGGCGGCGUGCUUAACACAUGCAAGUCGAACGCUGAAGCACCAGCUUGCUGGUGUGGAUGAGUGGCGAACGGGUGAGUAAUACGUGAGUAACCUGCCCUUGACUCUGGGAUAAGCCCGGGAAACUGGGUCUAAUACUGGAUGCUACAUGUCACCGCAUGGUGGUGUUUGGAAAGGGUUUACUGGUCUUGGAUGGGCUCAAGGCCUAUCAGCUUGUUGGUGAGGUAAUGGCUCACCAAGGCGACGACGGGUAGCCGGCCUGAGAGGGUGACCGGCCACACUGGGACUGAGACACGGCCCAGACUCCUACGGGAGGCAGCAGUGGGGAAUAUUGCACAAUGGGCGAAAGCCUGAUGCAGCGACGCCGCGUGAGGGAUGACGGCCUUCGGGUUGUAAACCUCUUUCAGCAGGGAAGAAGCCACAAGUGACGGUACCUGCAGAAGAAGCGCCGGCUAACUACGUGCCAGCAGCCGCCGUAA